rnacentral:tRNA from 1 species
CGGCAGGUAGCUUAGCGGUUAAGAGCAUUUGGCCAGUAACCAAAAGGUUGCUGGUUCGAAUCCCCAAGCAGA